rnacentral:rRNA from 1 species
AUACGGAGGGUGCGAGCGUUAUCCGGAUUUAUUGGGUUUAAAGGGUGCGUAGGCGGAAUAUUAAGUCAGUGGUGAAAUCCUGCGGCUCAACCGUAGAACUGCCAUUGAUACUGAUAUUCUUGAAUGUAGUUGAGGUAGGCGGAAUGUGUAAUGUAGCGGUGAAAUGCUUAGAUAUUACACAGAACACCGAUUGCGAAGGCAGCUUACUAAACUAUGAUUGACGCUGAUGCACGAAAGCGUGGGGAGCGAACAGGAUUAGAUACCCCGGUAGUCC